UACGUAGGGUGCAAGCGUUAAUCGGAAUUACUGGGCGUAAAGCGUGCGCAGGCGGUUUUGUAAGUCAGUUGUGAAAUCCCCGGGCUCAACCUGGGAACUGCAUUUGUGACUGCAUGGCUAGAGUGCGGCAGAGGGGGAUGGAAUUCCGCGUGUAGCAGUGAAAUGCGUAGAUAUGCGGAGGAACACCGAUGGCGAAGGCAAUCCCCUGGGCCUGCACUGACGCUCAUGCACGAAAGCGUGGGGAGCAAACAGG
rnacentral:rRNA from 1 species